CGCGGGGUAGAGCAGUCUGGUAGCUCGUCGGGCUCAUAACCCGAAGGUCAGGAGUUCAAAUCUCCUCCCCGCCACCA
rnacentral:tRNA from 15 species